rnacentral:misc_RNA from 1 species
UUCUCAAAGCCCUCAAAUGUAAUUUUUUUUUAUAUAUAUAAAAUGAUGAUAUCAUAACCAAAAAUCAAAGACAUAGGUAGCAGACAACUGUCUUUUGAUUAUCCAAGAUAUAGUGCACAUACUAAUCUCUCUAGAUGAAUAAUAAUAGCUUAAAGGGGAAGAUUAGCUUUUUUAUUUUUUAUUUAAUAUUAGUUGGACUCAAGUUCAAGAUUGGCUAGCUGCUGUAUAUUCAUAGGAUACACAAAGCUUGUAUCCCCAUUGAAAGCCCUUCUCGCCAUUAAAAUGUUCACAGCUUCUGUUGGGUGGAAUGCAUCCCAGAAGAUGUAUUGUUCCCUAUUCGGACAAGGAGUCUGGAGUGGAAGACAUGUAACCUGACCUCUAUUUCUCCCUAUGCCACAGCACCCUCGGUUGAUUACACUAAAUCCAUAAGCGGCAGAGUUGGCUAGGAUUUCUCGAAACAUUCGUGUAACGUCAAGGUAAAUAAAUCUUGCACCUGGGAGAUUGGUAUUGAAGUUGUUCAUCAUAGUCUUGACAUUUUCAUUAAAGGGUAGAAUCAGUUGAUUAACCGCUUCAGAGCAUUGUCCUGCAGGGCUCUGCGCCAGGAUGCUCGGAAUGCAUCCCAUUAAUCCUAAUCCUGCAAGUAUAAAUUUCCUUGCUCCAAGAUUAUAAAGGGUCUGUCCUAAUUUAAUCACAGAAAGCAAAUGCAUUUAGUGAGAGAUAUUUUAUUUGUAGAUGGCAUUCAAAUGAAAAUGAAAAUGAAAUGUUACCGUGAGUUGCUGAGUGUAUUGUUGAACCAAGAGAUCAGCAAAUUGUUGGGCAUUGUACUGAUUCUUGGUUGGGUAGUUGGGCAUGAGAUAGUUAUUAAGAUAGUCAUUACUACCCAUUCCCACAAAGAAUAUGCUCUUCCCAAUUGCCCUAGCCACACCCAUUGCCCCAAGAUUAUCUGUGAUCUGAUUAAGUGUAUUCUGGAAGUUCCUUAUCUGUUGAUUAAAUGGUAUGCGACUCACAAAGUUUCUGCCUGUGAUAUCAAGGAUUCCAGCAGCAGCAGAGGCAUAGUUUAAUCCAUGAAGCACAGCAUCUCCAGAUGCCUCAGAGUAUGGAGGAAUCAAGGGAAGUCCUAGCAGUUCAGCUAUUUCAUCAACCAUGGUGUAGCCAUUGGAGAAACGACCAGUAGGACCUCCAUUGAAAUCGAUACCAUAUGGAAAAUAGUUAGCCUUGGCAAAGGAAGGAAGGUCAUUGUUAUUCCCAUUGUCAAUAAGAGAGUCUCCAAAUAUGAACAUAGCAGGCACCAUCUCUCUUCUCCCUCCACCAUCUGGCCCAACUGGGUCUACAUUUUGGCCGGAACCUACCCUUAAAAAAACCAUGGCAAACACCAGCAACCAACAUACCCUCAUCAAGAUAGCCAU